GGAGUGAUGUUUGGUGAUGAUGGGCCUCUGUACAGCUAUGUAGAUAUUCCAUAGAAAAUCUGUUGUUUCCGGCUACAAAAAUGGACCGGAAACACACUUGGGUCUGUAGCUGCCAUUUUCCGGUGGGAAAGAGAAAGGGCCCUGUAUUUACCAGAAAAGGUAGCUCAUCCACCAUGGCAGAAGAGGAAGAUCCAGACUGUUGAUUGGGAAACAAGAACAAACAGCGAGUCAUGAGGAUUGGGAGUUGAGGGACCAGUUGUCACAUUGUCCAAGGACAACAGGAGUGAAUCCUUCAGGCAGUGCUCAGGCUCACCCCACCAGAAGCAGUACACGAUCAACGCCACCAUCAGCUAGGUGAUCUGCUGGAAGUGAUGUACUCUCUCACU